AACCGCAUGGUUCAGACAUAAAAGGUGGCUUCGGCUACCACUUACAGAUGGACCCGCGGCGCAUUAGCUAGUUGGUGAGGUAACGGCUCACCAAGGCAACGAUGCGUAGCCGACCUGAGAGGGUGAUCGGCCACACUGGGACUGAGACACGGCCCAGACUCCUACGGGAGGCAGCAGUAGGGAAUCUUCCGCAAUGGACGAAAGUCUGACGGAGCAACGCCGCGUGAGUGAUGAAGGUUUUCGGAUCGUAAAGCUCUGUUGUUAGGGAAGAACAAGUGCCGUUCAAAUAGGGCGGCACCUUGACGGUACCUAACCAGAAAGCCACGGCUAACUACGUGCCAGCAGCCGCGGUAAUACGUAGGUGGCAAGCGUUGUCCGGAAUUAUUGGGCGUAAAGGGCUCGCAGGCGGUUUCUUAAGUCUGAUGUGAAAGCCCCCGGCUCAACCGGGGAGGGUCAUUGGAAACUGGGGAACUUGAGUGCAGAAGAGGAGAGUGGAAUUCCACGUGUAGCGGUGAAAUGCGUAGAGAUGUGGAGGAACACCAGUGGCGAAGGCGACUCUCUGGUCUGUAACUGACGCUGAGGAGCGAAAGCGUGGGGAGCGAACAGGAUUAGAUACCCUGGUAGUCCACGCCGUAAACGAUGAGUGC
rnacentral:rRNA from 1 species